GCCUGGGUAGCUCAGUUGGUUAAGUGUCUGACUUCAGCUCAGGUCAUGAUCUUAUGGUUUGUGGGUUCGACCCCUGCAUCAGGCU
rfam:Felis catus isolate Cinnamon breed Abyssinian chromosome B2, whole genome shotgun sequence.